rnacentral:pre_miRNA from 1 species
UCUUAUUGAUGAUAAAGGAAAGUAGUUUCUUGAGCUAGAUUCUACCUUGGUGAAGAUGGUAUGAA